CCUACGGGAGGCUGCAGUGGGGAAUAUUGCACAAUGGGGGAAACCCUGAUGCAGCGACGCCGCGUGGGUGACGAAGUAUUUCGGUAUGUAAAGCCCUAUCAGCAGGGAAGAAGAUGACAAUACCUGACCAAGAAGCCCCGGCUAACUACGUGCCAGCAGCCGCGGUAAUACGUAGGGGGCAAGCGUUAUCCGGAUUUACUGGGUGUAAAGGGAGCGUAGGUGGCAUGGCAAGCCAGAAGUGAAAACCCGGGGCUUAACCCCGCGGAUUGCUUUUGGAACUGUCAGGCUGGAGUGCAGGAGGGGCAGGCGGAAUUCCUGGUGUAGCGGUGAAAUGCGUAGAUAUCAGGAGGAACACCGGUGGCGAAGGCGGCCUGCUGGACUGUAACUGACACUGAGGCUCGAAAGCGUGGGGAGCAAACAGGAUUAGAUACCCCUGUAGUC
rnacentral:rRNA from 1 species